GGGUUGUGAGGUUAAGCGACUAAGCGUACACGGUGGAUGCCCUGGCAGUCAGAGGCGAUGAAGGGCGUGCUAAUCUGCGAUAAGCGCCGGUAAGGUGAUAUGAACCGUUAUAACCGGCGAUACCCGAAUGGGGAAACCCAGUGUGACUCGUCACACUAUCAUUAACUGAAUCCAUAGGUUAAUGAGGCGAACCGGGGGAACUGAAACAUCUAAGUACCCCGAGGAAAAGAAAUCAACCGAGAUUCCCCCAGUAGCGGCGAGCGAACGGGGAGGAGCCCAGAGCCUGAAUCAGCAUGUGUGUUAGUGGAAGCGUCUGGAAAGGCGCGCGAUACAGGGUGACAGCCCCGUACACAAAAGCGCAUGUGCUGUGAGCUCGAUGAGUAGGGCGGGACACGUGGUAUCCUGUCUGAAUAUGGGGGGACCAUCCUCCAAGGCUAAAUACUCCUGACUGACCGAUAGUGAACCAGUACCGUGAGGGAAAGGCGAAAAGAACCCCGGCGAGGGGAGUGAAAAAGAACCUGAAACCGUGUACGUACAAGCAGUGGGAGCACAGGUUUACCUGUGUGACUGCGUACCUUUUGUAUAAUGGGUCAGCGACUUAUAUUCUGUAGCAAGGUUAACCGAAUAGGGGAGCCGGAGGGAAACCGAGUCUUAAUUGGGCGUUAAGUUGCAGGGUAUAGACCCGAAACCCGGUGAUCUAGCCAUGGGCAGGUUGAAGGUUGGGUAACACUAACUGGAGGACCGAACCGACUAAUGUUGAAAAAUUAGCGGAUGACCUGUGGCUGGGGGUGAAAGGCCAAUCAAACCGGGAGAUAGCUGGUUCUCCCCGAAAGCUAUUUAGGUAGCGCCUCGUGAACUCAUCUCCGGGGGUAGAGCACUGUUUCGGCUAGGGGGCCAUCCCGGCUUACCAACCCGAUGCAAACUGCGAAUACCGGAGAAUGUUAUCACGGGAGACACACGGCGGGUGCUAACGUCCGUCGUGAAGAGGGAAACAACCCAGACCGCCAGCUAAGGUCCCAAAGUCAUGGUUAAGUGGGAAACGAUGUGGGAAGGCCCAGACAGCCAGGAUGUUGGCUUAGAAGCAGCCAUCAUUUAAAGAAAGCGUAAUAGCUCACUGGUCGAGUCGGCCUGCGCGGAAGAUGUAACGGGGCUAAACCAUGCACCGAAGCUGCGGCAGCGACACUGUGUGUUGUUGGGUAGGGGAGCGUUCUGUAAGCCUGUGAAGGUGGCCUGUGAGGGUUGCUGGAGGUAUCAGAAGUGCGAAUGCUGACAUAAGUAACGAUAAAGCGGGUGAAAAGCCCGCUCGCCGGAAGACCAAGGGUUCCUGUCCAACGUUAAUCGGGGCAGGGUGAGUCGACCCCUAAGGCGAGGCCGAAAGGCGUAGUCGAUGGGAAACGGGUUAAUAUUCCCGUACUUGGUGUUACUGCGAAGGGGGGACGGAGAAGGCUAUGUUGGCCGGGCGACGGUUGUCCCGGUUUAAGCGUGUAGGUGUGUGUUCCAGGUAAAUCCGGUUCACUUUAACACUGAGGCGUGACGACGAGGCACUACGGUGCUGAAGCAAUAAAUGCCCUGCUUCCAGGAAAAGCCUCUAAGCAUCAGGUAACAUCAAAUCGUACCCCAAACCGACACAGGUGGUCAGGUAGAGAAUACCAAGGCGCUUGAGAGAACUCGGGUGAAGGAACUAGGCAAAAUGGUGCCGUAACUUCGGGAGAAGGCACGCUGACACGUAGGUGAAGUGAUUUACUCAUGGAGCUGAAGUCAGUCGAAGAUACCAGCUGGCUGCAACUGUUUAUUAAAAACACAGCACUGUGCAAACACGAAAGUGGACGUAUACGGUGUGACGCCUGCCCGGUGCCGGAAGGUUAAUUGAUGGGGUCAGCGCAAGCGAAGCUCCUGAUCGAAGCCCCGGUAAACGGCGGCCGUAACUAUAACGGUCCUAAGGUAGCGAAAUUCCUUGUCGGGUAAGUUCCGACCUGCACGAAUGGCGUAAUGAUGGCCAGGCUGUCUCCACCCGAGACUCAGUGAAAUUGAACUCGCUGUGAAGAUGCAGUGUACCCGCGGCAAGACGGAAAGACCCCGUGAACCUUUACUAUAGCUUGACACUGAACAUUGAGCCUUGAUGUGUAGGAUAGGUGGGAGGCUUUGAAGUGUGGACGCCAGUCUGCAUGGAGCCGACCUUGAAAUACCACCCUUUAAUGUUUGAUGUUCUAACGUGGACCCGUAAUCCGGGUUGCGGACAGUGUCUGGUGGGUAGUUUGACUGGGGCGGUCUCCUCCUAAAGAGUAACGGAGGAGCACGAAGGUUGGCUAAUCCUGGUCGGACAUCAGGAGGUUAGUGCAAUGGCAUAAGCCAGCUUGACUGCGAGCGUGACGGCGCGAGCAGGUGCGAAAGCAGGUCAUAGUGAUCCGGUGGUUCUGAAUGGAAGGGCCAUCGCUCAACGGAUAAAAGGUACUCCGGGGAUAACAGGCUGAUACCGCCCAAGAGUUCAUAUCGACGGCGGUGUUUGGCACCUCGAUGUCGGCUCAUCACAUCCUGGGGCUGAAGUAGGUCCCAAGGGUAUGGCUGUUCGCCAUUUAAAGUGGUACGCGAGCUGGGUUUAGAACGUCGUGAGACAGUUCGGUCCCUAUCUGCCGUGGGCGCUGGAGAACUGAGGGGGGCUGCUCCUAGUACGAGAGGACCGGAGUGGACGCAUCACUGGUGUUCGGGUUGUCAUGCCAAUGGCACUGCCCGGUAGCUAAAUGCGGAAGAGAUAAGUGCUGAAAGCAUCUAAGCACGAAACUUGCCCCGAGAUGAGUUCUCCCUGAGACUUAGAGUCUCCUGAAGGAACGUUGAAGACGACGACGUUGAUAGGCCGGGUGUGUAAGCGCAGCGAUGCGUUGAGCUAACCGGUACUAAUGAACCGUGAGGCUUAACCUUACAACGCCGAAGCUGUU
rnacentral:rRNA from 1 species